rnacentral:lncRNA from 13 species
AGACUUCUCUCGCAUUUACCAAAUUCGUAAAAAUAGACCACACGGAUAAAACUUUCCUAUGAUUUCUCGCUUAUGACGUCAUGACUUCAAUAUGGCUGCGGCGGAGCCUUAAGUAUUUUCCGAAUCAUGAGGUUUAACGGUUAAAGAAAGGUGUACUAAAAAUCGAUUUAAUCUUGACCUGACCUUGUAGACGCCAUCCAAGAUCAAAUUUUUCCGAAAUGUUAAGGGAUCCUGGCACUUUCGGAACACCCUGUACAUCCAUGCGCGCAUCACACACUCGCACACGCACGCGCGUGCAAAUAGAAGAGUUAGAUAGAAAAUGAUAAAAAUAAAAAGAAGGUAACAAGAUGUCAUAUAUUCUCGAGUUUUCGUUUAGAUUUUGACGAAAUUUUGCUGCUUUGAAUGCGAUUUUCAAUACUUUCUCAUCAAUCCAUUUUGAAAUAUACGUUUGUUAA